CGGCGUGCCUAAUACAUGCAAGUCGAGCGAACAGACGAGGAGCUUGCUCCUCUGACGUUAGCGGCGGACGGGUGAGUAACACGUGGAUAACCUACCUAUAAGACUGGGAUAACUUCGGGAAACCGGAGCUAAUACCGGAUAAUAUAUUGAACCGCAUGGUUCAAUAGUGAAAGACGGUUUUGCUGUCACUUAUAGAUGGAUCCGCGCCGCAUUAGCUAGUUGGUAAGGUAACGGCUUACCAAGGCAACGAUGCGUAGCCGACCUGAGAGGGUGAUCGGCCACACUGGAACUGAGACACGGUCCAGACUCCUACGGGAGGCAGCAGUAGGGAAUCUUCCGCAAUGGGCGAAAGCCUGACGGAGCAACGCCGCGUGAGUGAUGAAGGUCUUCGGAUCGUAAAACUCUGUUAUUAGGGAAGAACAAAUGUGUAAGUAACUAUGCACGUCUUGACGGUACCUAAUCAGAAAGCCACGGCUAACUACGUGCCAGCAGCCGCGGUAAUACGUAGGUGGCAAGCGUUAUCCGGAAUUAUUGGGCGUAAAGCGCGCGUAGGCGGUUUUUUAAGUCUGAUGUGAAAGCCCACGGCUCAACCGUGGAGGGUCAUUGGAAACUGGAAAACUUGAGUGCAGAAGAGGAAAGUGGAAUUCCAUGUGUAGCGGCGAAAUGCGCAGAGAUAUGGAGGAACACCAGUGGCGAAGGCGACUUUCUGGUCUGUAACUGACGCUGAUGUGCGAAAGCGU
rnacentral:rRNA from 1 species